GACGAACGCUGGCGGCGUGCUUAACACAUGCAAGUCGAACGGAAAGGCCCUGCGUUUGUGGGCUGCCCGAGUGGCGAACGGGGGAGUAAGACGUGAGUAACCUGCCCUUGACUUUGGGAUAACUUCAGGAAACUGGGGCUAAUACCGGAUAGGAUCUCCUGCUCCAGGGUGGGCGUGGGAAAGUUUCGGCGGUUGGGGAUGGAUGCGCGGCUUAUGAGCUAGUUGGUGGGGUAGGUGCUGACCAAGGCUUUGACGGGUAGCCGGCCUGAGAGGGUGACCGGCGACCUUGGGACUGAGAGACGGCGCAGACUCCUACGGGAGGCAGCAGUGGCAAAUAUUGCACAAUGGGCGGAAGCCUGAUGCGGCAACGCCGGGUGCGGGAUGACGUCCUUCGGGUUGUAAACCGCAUUCGCCUGUGACGAAGCGUGAGUGACGGUAAUGGGUAAAGAAGCACCGGCUAACUACGUG
rnacentral:rRNA from 1 species